rnacentral:rRNA from 1 species
AUUGAACGCUGGCGGCAGGCCUAACACAUGCAAGUCGAACGGUAACAGGAAGAAUCUUGCUUCUUUGCUAACGAGUGGCGGACGGGUGAGUAAUGUCUGGGAAACUGCCUGAUGGAGGGGGAUAACUACUGGAAACGGUAGCUAAUACCGCAUAACGUCGCAAGACCAAAGAGGGGGACCUUCGGGCCUCUUGCCAUCGGAUGUGCCCAGAUGGGAUUAGCUAGUAGGUGGGGUAACGGCUCACCUAGGCGACGAUCCCUAGCUGGUCUGAGAGGAUGACCAGCCACACUGGAACUGAGACACGGUCCAGACUCCUACGGGAGGCAGCAGUGGGGAAUAUUGCACAAUGGGCGCAAGCCUGAUGCAGCCAUGCCGCGUGUAUGAAGAAGGCCUUCGGGUUGUAAAGUACUUUCAGCGGGGAGGAAGGGAGUAAAGUUAAUACCUUUGCUCAUUGACGUUACCCGCAGAAGAAGCACCGGCUAACUCCGUG